CUCUGCAGUUUUUUCAACCUACCAAUAGCAUUGGGUAACCUUUCAAUUGGAGAAUAACUAAUGUCCAGGUGUUGCAAAUUCUGUAAAUUCCCAAUUGAGUUAGGGAUUUCUUUCAAUGACCCACAACCGCUAAGGUCAAGGUGUUGGAGAGAGGAAAGAUUCCCAAUUGAGCUGGGGAUUUCUGUCAAUGACCAACAAUUCAGGCACUCAGUUUCUCCAGCUUCCUUAGAGAACCAAUUGACAUAGGAAAUUCUUUAAUACCAGCACCAUCUAAAAUAAGUUCUUUUAGUUCUUCUAAUUUGCCCACUUCUUCUGGUAGCUCCUUGAGACUUCUACAGCCAGUCAAGUCCAAGGAAAUGAGGCUCUUGAGUUUGCCAAUAGAAGGGUGGAGUUGCUCGAGUAUGUAACAAUGUUUCAAAAUGAGAAUCUCCAACUCCGUGAAAGCUGAGAGGUCUGGAGUAGAUUUUAAAGUGCAGUUU